rnacentral:rRNA from 1 species
UACGGAGGGUGCGAGUGUUGUCCGGAAUCACUGGGCGUAAAGGGCGCGUAGGUGGCCGAGCAAGGUCGCGGUGAAAGCCCGGGGCUCAACCCCGGGUCGGCCGUGGCAACUACUUGGCUUGAGCACUGUAGGGGCGGGUGGAAUUCCGGGUGUAGCGGUGGAAUGCGUAGAUAUCUGGAGGAACACCGGUGGCGAAGGCGACAUCCUGGACCGGUAUUGACGCUGAGGCGCGAAAGCCAGGGGAGCAAACGGG